AGGAGUCUUAAUCGGAUGGCAGGCUCGAAGCGAUCGAAUUGAAAAGUUUAGAUCCAUCUCAAUUGGAUUGGAGGUUUGGAGCAAACGAGAACAUUAAUGAAGAAGGAGGGCACAUGCAAAGGUCGUUGACAGCUUAGAGGUGGAGCAUGCUGGUGCUUCUCUGACGACCAUGCUAGAGGUUGACGGGUAAUGGAAGGUCUCCAGCCACCAGGGGAGUUGUUUUGGAUGUUGCAAUGGAGAGCAUGGCACACUGUUGUCCAUGCAAUUUACUUUAUGGAUACAUUUGAUGUGUGGCUAAAUUAUAAUAAUAUUUUUAUUUUUUGGUUAAUUAAAAAAUGAGUGUAAUAUAGCCAUCUUGCACCCUGUACAUGUCAUGUUUUUUUGUAUUUAUAUGUGAAAUUCUUCAAGAUUUUGGAAUUUUGUCAAAUGUCUAGAUAUAAUACUUUUACAAAAUAUAUUUAAA